GUCUAUGGCCAUACCAUUCCAAAUAUUCCCAAUCCCAUCUGAUCAUGGGAGCUAAACAGGACCAGGUCUGGUUAGUACCUGGAUGGGAAUUAGGCAAUCACUAUCCAGCUAUACAAA
rnacentral:rRNA from 1 species